rnacentral:rRNA from 1 species
CCUACGGGUGGCAGCAGUGGGGAAUAUUGCACAAUGGGCGCAAGCCUGAUGCAGCCAUGCCGCGUGUGUGAAGAAGGCCUUCGGGUUGUAAAGCACUUUCAGCGGGGAGGAAGGCGGUGAGGUUAAUAACCUCAUCGAUUGACGUUACCCGCAGAAGAAGCACCGGCUAACUCCGUGCCAGCAGCCGCGGUAAUACGGAGGGUGCAAGCGUUAAUCGGAAUUACUGGGCGUAAAGCGCACGCAGGCGGUCUGUCAAGUCGGAUGUGAAAUCCCCGGGCUCAACCUGGGAACUGCAUUCGAAACUGGCAGGCUAGAGUCUUGUAGAGGGGGGUAGAAUUCCAGGUGUAGCGGUGAAAUGCGUAGAGAUCUGGAGGAAUACCGGUGGCGAAGGCGGCCCCCUGGACAAAGACUGACGCUCAGGUGCGAAAGCGUGGGGAGCAAACAGGAUUAGAUACCCGGGUAGUC